UUUAUUUCUUCCUGAAAUGCCUGGCAUUGGCAUUGCGAAUCUUCUCUGAGUCUGAAGCGUCCUGCCUGACAUGUUUGCUAGCACUCACCCGCGCCUUCCCUCAGUCCCUCUCAUCUCGUUUAGAUUCCAUCUCCCGUGAUCCAGUGACAUGAACUUGGGAAGAGGCUGCACUGGGCAUGGUCCUGGGAAGGGCUCACACCCAGACAUGGAUGGAGACGGGGUGAGGGUCCUGUGGUGUCAGUGCUGUUGGGCAGCAGGGAUUGCUCAGGGGCCGCAUCUGGAUGCACUGUCAGCGCUGUGUAAACCAUGAUAACAGAAGCUGCCCAUGAAGUCAGGUGCACACGUACCUGCUCACUGGCAUAGAAAAGAACACUAAGGGGAAAGCUUUCCUGCCUCAUUGGUAACUGCAUUUGAAGCCGAACAAGUGAGUCAUUGGAUUUCCGACUCCAAACUCGUAAAGACUGGGAACAGAAUGGAAAGUUUAGACACUGACAUUGGAGAUAGAUGAUUCUUUCAUUCCAUCAUCCAUUUUAAUGUAUGACGUCAACAUAAAUGUGUAACAAGAUUCAUUAAACUAGUCUCAGAAGCUCUAUCCCAUGGAGACUGUGAUGUUCUUACAAGAACCUUUGUCCGUCGGGUAUUGUAGGUGAGAAUGGCAUAUAAGCAGAACAACCUUGCCAUUAGAGAGAAUGGAACUGUAUUUUUGUUUUACCAGUUAUGAGUCAACAUUUUGUUUCUUUUAUUUUGAACAUGGCAUCAUGUAUAUAUUUCUUUUAUAGUGAAAUGAUACAUUUAUGUGCCAAGAGGUAAAGCAUCCCUUUUCCUGUCCAGCCUUCC
rnacentral:lncRNA from 1 species